UUCAGUAGAUACACCAGUGAUUGCAUUUCUAAGUGUAGCACGAGGAGAACGGCGUCUCGAGAUCGACAAUGUCGUUAACGAUCUACUUGUAACCAGUUACUACAUUCGCCGGACAACCUGUAGGAAGCAACGCAGCCUUGGGAACCUGAAUUUGGCGAAAACUACAAACAAAAUGACUGCGAUCGUGCCACGCAGCAGCAUGGCGAAUGCGCAUGUUUGGACAGGCAAACGCAGUAUUAGCCGGAUGUUGGCCAAGUUGAUGUUCGCCUAGAUGUUCGCCAAGUUGUUCGCUUAUUAAUUGAUCAGGUGCUGGUAUGUCUCGAUAGUGAAGGUCACUUAGGACGUUAAUGUCACGAAAUCACAUACGUACGCCUUUUCAGCUUUUUAUUGGCCCUACCACGAACGCCUUUUUCCAGUCCCAGGAACAAUAAAGCGCGGCGCUUCAUAUUGGACCCAGGUACUGCGUUACGGUAAUAUUGUGCGCAAUAUCCUGUAUUCGUUACAACACAGCCCUGCCACCCAAAGCGCUCAUCAAGUGAACUGCGCUAUCUGUGGAAUCGGCCCAGGAAAAAGGCUAGAAACAAACAUGCCCGAUACAGCGUAACUCACUGGAAUUUACUCGCCAAGAUAGAAAUUGUCAAAAAAAAAAAAAAUGUGGUGCUGUAUCGCGCCGGCAUUCGAACUAUGUACCUACAGAAUGAUGUCCACAUCAUUGUCAACAUUAUUCUAGCAGAUCGCUAGACCGAGAAAAAUAAUUCGCAAAAUAUUCCCUAAAUUUUGCUCUAAUGCCGCUAAAGUUGUCGCUAGAACUAUCAAGGGAACUUUACAGAAUGUAGGCUUUUUUAGAACACUGGAAUAAAGCUAACAUGACGCCCACUCAAACUUUUCAAAUUUUUCUCUUGUCCGUCCAGGUGAAGAAUGAACAGUGAAUUUUACA